UACAUGGGGUGCAAACGUUGCUCGGAAUUACUGGGCGUAAAGGGCGCGUAGGCGGAUAGUUAAGUGAGAUGUGAAAUCCCUGGGCUUAACCUAGGAACUGCAUCUGAAACUGGCUGUCUGGAGUGCGGUAGAGGGGUAGUGGAAUUUCCGGUGUAGCGGUGAAAUGCGUAGAUAUCGGAAGGAACACCAGUGGCGAAGGCGGCUACCUGGACUGACACUGACGCUGAGGCGCGAGAGCGUGGGGAGCAAAUAGG
rnacentral:rRNA from 1 species